rnacentral:rRNA from 1 species
ACGGAGGGCGCAAGCGUUAAUCGGAAUCACUGGGCGUAAAGCGCGCGUAGGCCGCUUUGUAAGUCGGACGUGAAAGCCCUCGGCUCAACCGGGGAACUGCGUUCGAUACUGCGAGGCUUGAGUCCUGGAGAGGGUGGCGGAAUUCCGGGUGUAGGAGUGAAAUCCGUAGAUAUCCGGAGGAACACCGGUGGCGAAGGCGGCCACCUGGACAGGUACUGACGCUGAGGCGCGAAAGCGUGGGGAGCAAACAG